GACGAACGCUGGCGGCGUGCUUAACACAUGCAAGUCGAACGGAAAGGCCCUGCUUUUGUGGGGUGCUCGAGUGGCGAACGGGUGAGUAACACGUGAGUAACCUGCCCUUGACUUUGGGAUAACUUCAGGAAACUGGGGCUAAUACCGGAUAGGAGCUCCUGCUGCAUGGUGGGGGUUGGAAAGUUUCGGCGGUUGGGGAUGGACUCGCGGCUUAUCGGCUUGUUGGUGGGGUAGUGGCUUACCAAGGCUUUGACGGGUAGCCGGCCUGAGAGGGUGACCGGGCAGAGUGGGACUGGGAGACGGCCCAGACGCCUACGGGAGGGAGCAGUGGGGAGGGGGGAGCGAUGGGCGGGAGCCGGAUGCAGCAACGGCGCGUGCGGGAUGAGGGCGUUGGGGUUGGGAACGGCUUGCGCCUGUGACGAAGCGGGAGUGGAGGGAAUGGGUAGAGAAGCACCGGGUAACUACGUGC
rnacentral:rRNA from 1 species